GACGUAGGGCGCGAGCGUUGUCCGGAUUUAUUGGGCGUAAAGAGCUCGUAGGCGGCUUGUCGCGUCGACUGUGAAAUCCCGCGGCUCAACUGCGGGUCUGCAGUCGAUACGGGCAGGCUAGAGUUCGGUAGGGGAGACUGGAAUUCCUGGUGUAGCGGUGAAAUGCGCAGAUAUCAGGAGGAACACCAGUGGCGAAGGCAGG
rnacentral:rRNA from 1 species